CAAAAAGCCCGCUCAUGCGUCGGCAUCAGCGGGCUUGGUGUGCGGUACGAACAGCUAUCGACUCGGGCCGGCAUGGCGCUGCUCGCCGGCCUUCGCUUUAGCUGUUUCGGGUUGCCCCGCGUCCGCAAGCUGAAAUCAAAUCGACGCAAGGCCCCAUCGUAUCACGCCUUUUUGGCGACGUGCGCGG
rfam:Burkholderia mallei ATCC 23344 chromosome 2, complete sequence.